AUCACCGAAGACCGUACCGAGUCACCGGAGCGCCCAGCCUGCGGGAUCCGCUACCUAGCCGAAGUGCGGAGUCUUUACCGAGAAAGGAGAAGGCGGCAGCCCCAACCAAUAGGGGAGCAGGUUGGGCGGGUGUUGGCGGCCAAUCACCCGGGCCGCUCGCCUACCAACCAGGAAGCAAGCCCUCAGGACCAGCUUUGAGGGGUGUGUGUGAAGAGCCACGUGAAUAUGGGCACGGCCAAUAGGAAAGCUGUUGGGCUGGCGCUUCCGCGUUGUGCUGCGAGGCGUGUAGACAGACGGGGACUCUAAAUGACGAGAAGUCACGUGUAACAAGCGACUCGGCCAAUGGAAAUGCUCGAGGACCCGGAAACGGAGAAGAAGCAGAGGGAAGGGCGGAGAUGCUUGUCACGUGCGGCCAAUAUAGACAAAGCAGGCCCUCCCCCUAGUCUCCCAAGUUCGAGCGCGCACCACACGAGCCCAGAAAAGAAAGGCGGGGCUAGCCCGAAACACCAAUGGAAGCGAGAGUGGGCGGGCUCGCGCUUAGGCGCAGGAGGCGGAGCUUGCCCAGCCGGGCCAAUGAGGACACGAGGCGCUGGACGGUUGUUAGGCAGGGAAGGUCGGCGCAUGGCUGACGCGGCACUGUUCGAGUUUCUGCACACGGAAAUGGUAGCGGAGCUGUGGGCGCAAGAUCCGGACCCCGGCCCCGGGGGACAGAAGAUGAGCCUGUCGGUCCUGGAGGGCAUGGGCUUCCGCGUGGGCCAGGCCCUGGGCGAGAGGCUGCCCCGAGAGACGCUAGCCUUCAGGGAGGAGCUGGACGCCCUCAAGUUCCUAUGCAAAGACGUGUGGGCGGCCGUGUUCCAAAAGCAGAUGGACAGCCUCCGCACCAAUCAUCAGUUCCCAUUAGGAGCCCGUGCUGUGCCGGGGCCCGGCGGGCCGCUCCACGGGCCUGGGCUGCAGCUUCUCACCACCACCCUGGAAGGUCACGCACCCAGCGGGGCAGGACACCAGGCCCGGGGCCGAAGGCCCGUGGGUCCUCGUGCAGCUCUGAAGGACGGGCCCGUGACCGACCACCACGGUUUUGAGGGAAGGGUCCUUCCGGACCUCAGCCCAGCGGGGCUGGGCCCUGGGUCCUUGCUUCCCUUCCUCGCUAACAAAGGUACAGGUGCCACCCCAGCCCCCAUGGGCCCCUCCUCUGUCCCCAGGGGACCUACGUCCUGCAGGACCACAGCUUCCCCCUUCUCAUCCGGAUGGCCUCGGGUCUGCAGUACCUGGAGGAAGCGCCCAAGUUCCUGGCCUUCACCUGCGGCCUCCUACGGGGCACCCUCAGCACCCUGGGCAUCAAGAGCCUGGUCACCGCCUCCGUGGCAGCCCUGCCCGCCUUCACCCACGCAGCCCUGGGAUGCAGGCCAGGUGGGCAGGAAGCAUCUCCACCCUAGACCGGUGAGGAAACUUGAGGCCCCGCUGAGGCCACCCAGGCUGUUGGCGCAGGGCAGGGAUGAACAUCUCUGAGCUACGGGGAUGCUGCCUCUCGCCUCCGGUCCCAGCCUCAGGCUAAAGCCAGCCCUUCUCUUCCAGUUCAUGUGCCUGGCGGAUGCGAGUCAUACCAAGAAAAGAGCAAUGGCCAGGCUGACCAGUCCCUGGGCAGCUCGGCCUCCAUGCCUGCACCCCACCCCCUGCCGCCACCUCCAAUGUUUACAUUCAUAGCAUCCGAGGGCAUCACCCGUCUGGACUCUGCCAGGCUCUGCCACUUGCUGCCUGAUGUGGGUAAGUACCCCCACCUCAGAUCUGCACGCCGAGGCUGCGACAGACCCAGACGGGAGGAGGAGGGGUCUCCUCAGUGGGUGGGGCUUCUCUGCAGACACCCCAUCCAGCCCCUCCCCAGCGCACACAGCUGAGCAUCGCGGGUCCCUGGCCUGCCUCCGUGCAUUUGCACAUGCCAUUCCCCCGCCUGGCCCACUCCCCAAACUCCUGCUCCCUCUCCGGUGUCCAGCAGCCACCAGCCUCAGCUGCCCACCACAUCCCUCGGAGCAGUUGCUCACUCGCCCGGCGCCUGCAGCCCUGGGGGCGUGGGGGGGCUCCUAGACUGCCUUGCCCUGCCCUGCCGCCGUGUUUACUUGUUUGCGUCCCGCCGCGCUUCCCCGUGGGUCCCUCUGGGUCCCUCAGCCGGGUGCUGGCACUGUCCAGCACAGAGCCUGCAGAUGUUUCCCAAAUGAAUCGCAGUCACUCAGCUAAACUGUGUGCGCACGGACAGGCGGGGGAUCGGCCCAGCCCUGCCCUCAAGAACUCCGGGCUGUCCUGGAGGCUCCCCCCCAGACUCACCACACCCCCACUCAGACACACCAGCCUGGCCUCCCUGAUGGGGCAGGGGUGCUGGGAGGGGGGCAGAGUCCUAAAGUGGCAGAGGACAGGGAGGAGGAAGUUGCUUGAAAGCCUGGUGAGGGGAGAGAGCAGUAGCCCAGGGGAGGGAAGGGGCACAGCUGGGCUACAGGGGGCAGUGUCUGGUCACUGGGCACAGCUCUGUGGUUGCCUCCCCCAUCUCCCGGGGGAACGAACCUCUGUUCGACCCGUCACGCCAGCAGCAGCCACAGGGAGACAGGACCCUGGAGAGCAGAGGGGCCCCCCCCACACGCUGUGUCUAAGGCACCUCCUGCCCAGCCAUCCCCACCCCCAGCCCCGCUCUCACCUCUCGAAGAACGUCCACAAGGCACCUCCACCUACCCAGCACAAACCACUGCCUGCAAAGCCUGGCUCUGCCUCCCUAAGACCCGGGGCAAGGGACUCCCCAGUCCAGGCCUCCGUUUCCUCACCUGUAAAGGGGGCAUCACCCCCGCCCCACUGGAGCGUGGCAACGAGGAAAGAGGUUACUGAAGAUAAAAAAGCAUGUUGGGACUUCCCUGGAGGUCCAGUGGUUAGGACUCUGCCCGUUCGCUGCUGAGGCUGGGUUUAAUCCCUGGUUGGGGAACUAAGAUCCCGCAAUCCGCGUGUUGGAGUCAAAAAAAGAGAAGCAUGUACGCUGAGCACGGCUCCUGGCGAGCCUGGAACGCGCGUGUCGUCGUCAUUUUAUGUGAAGCAUCUGGAGCAGCUGGCAAAUGGGCCAGCUGGCGCCACUCUUGCUGAGCACCGGGCUCUGGGCUCAGGGGACGACUCCUGACAACCACGAGAGGCAGGCACGGACGCCGGCCUGCUCAGCCACGAGGAAGCCGGGGCUCAGAGAGGUGAAGUCACCCGCCCGAGCUCACACGGCUGGGCCCUGGAGGAGCUGGCACCUGAACCCGGGGCUGCAUCUUCUCUGGGCCUGGGCUCCAAAUCCGUAUCCUAGCUUCCUUCCCUCCCACAGCAUAAGUGCCCAGACCGGCAGACCCUCCGGCGGGUCCCGCCCUGGGCAGCAGCGUGGCCUGCCAUCUCCAUCCCUUACUGGGGUACCGCGGUGGGGUGGGGGGGCGGCGGCAGCCCCCAGUCCUUGAGAGCUGAGCGCACGGGAC